GCCGGGGUGGCGGAAUUGGCAGACGCACAGGACUUAAAAUCCUGCGGUAGGUGACCACCGUGCGGGUUCAAGUCCCGCUCUCGGCA
rnacentral:tRNA from 1 species